rnacentral:rRNA from 1 species
UACGUAGGGGGCAAGCGUUGUCCGGAAUCAUUGGGCGUAAAGAGCGCGUAGGCGGCCCUGUAAGUCCGCUGUGAAAGUCAAGGGCUCAACCCUUGGAUGCCGGUGGAUACUGCAGGGCUAGAGUCCGGAAGAGGCGAGUGGAAUUCCUGGUGUAGCGGUGAAAUGCGUAGAUAUCGAGAGGAACACCUGCGGCGAAGGCGGGUUGCUGGGCUGAUACUGACGCUGAGGCGCGAAAGCGGUGGGAGCAAACGGG